GGGAAACAGUAGAAGUGAGGGGGAACAGCAGCAUAAGGGGGAAACAGCAGCAGUGAUGGGGAAACAGCAGCAGUGAGGGGGAAACAGCAGCAGUGACAGGGAAACAGCAGCAGUGAGGUGGAAACAGCAGAAGUGAGGGGGAAACAGUAGCAGUGAGGUGGAAACAGCAGCACCGAGGUGGAAACAGUAGAAGUGAGGUGGAAACAGUGCAGUGAGGGGGAAACAGCAGCAGUGAUGGGAAACAGUAGCAUUGAGGGGGAA
rnacentral:lncRNA from 1 species